rnacentral:tRNA from 1 species
GCUGGAUUAGCUCAGUUGGUAGAGCAGCUGUUUCGUAAUCAGCAGGUCGCAGGUUCAAGUCCUGUUUCCAGCACCA